rnacentral:rRNA from 1 species
UAGGGAAUUUUCCACAAUGGACGAAAGUCUGAUGGAGCAACGCCGCGUGCAGGAUGAAUGUCUUCGGAUUGUAAACUGCUUUUCUCUGUGACGAAUAUGACGGUAACAGAGGAAUAAGGACCUGCUAACUACGUGCCAGCAGCCGCGGUCAUACGUAGGGUCCAAGCGUUAUCCGGAAUUACUGGGCGUAAAGAGUUGCGUAGGUGGCAUUGUAAGCGAGUAGUGAAAGCGUUCGGCUUAACCGGAUACACAUUACUCGAACUGCAAAGCUAGAGGACGAGAGAGGUUAUUGGAAUUCCCAGUGUAGGAGUGAAAUCCGUAGAUAUUGGGAGGAACACCGAUGGCGUAGGCAGAUAACUGGCUCGUUCCUGACACUAAGGCACGAAAGCGUGGGGAGCAAACGGGAUUAGAUACCCCCGUAGUCC